rnacentral:rRNA from 1 species
UGGGGAAUAUUGGACACUGGGCGCAAGCCUGAUCCAGCCAUGCCGCGUGUGUGAAGAAGGCCUUAUGGUUGUAAAGCACUUUAAGCGAGGAGGAGGCUACUUUAGUUAAUACCUAGAGAUAGUGGACGUUACUCGCAGAAUAAGCACCGGCUAACUCUGUGCCAGCAGCCGCGGUAAUACAGAGGGUGCAAGCGUUAAUCGGAUUUACUGGGCGUAAAGCGCGCGUAGGCGGCUAAUUAAGUCAAAUGUGAAAUCCCCGAGCUUAACUUGGGAAUUGCAUUCGAUACUGGUUAGCUAGAGUGUGGGAGAGGAUGGUAGAAUUCCAGGUGUAGCGGUGAAAUGCGUAGAGAUCUGGAGGAAUACCGAUGGCGAAGGCAGCCAUCUGGCAUAACACUGACGCUGAGGUGCGAAAGCAGGGGGAGCAAACAGG